rnacentral:rRNA from 1 species
CCAAUAGCGUAUAUUAAAGUUGCUGCAGUUAAAAAGCUCGUAGUUGAAUUUCGGGACCAUCAUGUCGGUCGUGCCUCGGUACGUACUGGUAUUGUUGGUUUCUCCCUUCUGACGAACCAUGAUGUCAUUUAUUUGGUGUUGUGGGGAAUCAGGACUGUUACUUUGAAAAAAUUAGAGUGUUUAAAGCAGGCUCACGCUUGAAUACAUUAGCAUGGAAUAAUGAAAUAGGACGUUUGAUUCUAUUUUGUUGGUUUCUAGGAUCGACGUAAUGAUUAAUAGGGAUAGCUGGGGGCAUUAGUAUUCAAUUGUCAGAGGUGAAAUUCUUGGAUUUAUUGAAGACUAACUACUGCGAAAGCAUUUGCCAAGGAUGUUUUCAUUAAUCAAGAACGAAAGUUAGGGGAUCGAAGACGAUCAGAUACCGUCGUAGUCUUAACCAUAAACUAUGCCGACUAGGGAUCGGAUGAUGUUAAUUUUUUAAUGACUCAUUCGGCGCCUUACG